rnacentral:rRNA from 1 species
AUCGAACGCUGGCGGCAGGCCUAACACAUGCAAGUCGAGCGGAUGAAGGGAGCUUGCUCCUGGAUUCAGCGGUGGACGGGUGAGUAAUGCCUAGGAAUCUGCCUGGUAGUGGGGGAUAACGUCCGGAAACGGGCGCUAAUACCGCAUACGUCCUGAGGGAGAAAGUGGGGGAUCUUCGGACCUCACGCCAUCAGAUGAGCCUAGGUCGGAUUAGCUAGUUGGUGGGGUAAAGGCCUACCAAGGCGACGAUCCGUAACUGGUCUGAGAGGAUGAUCAGUCACACUGGAACUGAGACACGGUCCAGACUCCUACGGGAGGCAGCAGUGGGGAAUAUUGGACAAUGGGCGAAAGCCUGAUCCAGCCAUGCCGCGUGUGUGAAGAAGGUCUUCGGAUUGUAAAGCACUUUAAGUUGGGAGGAAGGGCAGUAAGUUAAUACCUUGCUGUUUUGACGUUACCAACAGAAUAAGCACCGGCUAACUUCGUG